UUCAGCGUCUAUUGAAAAUAGACACAUUGGAGUCUGAGAUUUUUUUGCAUGUUGUAUUAAAGAUAUUGUUUUUGCUAUAUUGUCCUUUGCUUCUCUUUUAGGAAUGAAUCCUGCUUGGUCAUUGUGUAUCAACUGCGAGAGCUUACUUGGACUCACAAUCUGCACUGAUCCUGCACUAGAUGUUCUGAGAGCUCUGGCUUCUGCCCUUCUGACUCAACGAAAGACUUCUGCACUGAUCCUGCACUACAUUUGAAUGAGAUUGCAUUGGUGCUCCUGUUGGAGUUACUCUUGGACAAGAUAAAGUGUAGAAAUUCAUUCAUGCCUUUUGCUUUUGUAUACCUGACAUUCUCAUUGUGCUGUAUUGCAUUCAUCAGAUUGUGGCUGUGUUUUCUGAGCUGGCUUUUUGUGACUCGCAUCACUGGUGCAGGUUGGGUGCUUGUCCUACAAUGGAAUCAUUUUGCGGGUUAGGGUCGGGUACGGGUUAUGGUUUGUGGGUUAGAGUCGGGUACGGGUUAUUGGCAAGGUCAGACUGGCCGAGUGGUCCGUUCACGCAUGCACGGCUUUGCAGUAGGGGGGGGGCCUGGACAGAAGUCACAGUGGGCCCCCUAGCCCUCCAGUCCGACCCUGGUUAUGGGUUUGCAGGUUAGGGUCGGUGCGGGUUGAGUUUUUCCUGAUCCAUACAUCACUAGCACUGCUCCCUAUACACAGGUCUCUUGUGCCUUCCCCUAGCUCCAGCCCUGCUCCCCUGCACAGCUUGGGAAAACAACCAGUAUCAAGUGGAACAUAUUGGUGGGACUAGCAGGGUUUGGGGGGAGGGAAUUAUUAAAAAAGAAUCUCUAAACACUA